UACGUAGGAGACGAACGUUAUCCGGAGUUACUGGGCGUAAAGGGCGUGUAGGCGGUUUGUUAAGUCUGGCGUGAAAGCUCUCGGCUAAACCGGGAGAGGUCGUUGGAUACUGGCGAACUGGAGGAUGGUAGAGGCGUGUGGAAUUCCGGGUGUAGUGGUGAAAUGCGUAGAGAUCCGGAGGAACACCAGUGGCGAAGGCGACACGCUGGGCCAUACCUGACGCUAAAGCGCGACAGCAUGGGGAGCAAACGGG
rnacentral:rRNA from 1 species